CCUACGGGUGGCUGCAGUCGAGAAUCAUUCACAAUGGGGGAAACCCUGAUGGUGCGACGCCGCGUGGGGGAAUGAAGGUCUUCGGAUUUUAAACUCUUUUCAUGUGGGAGCAAAUUAAAAAGAUAGUACCACAAGAGGAAGCGACGGCUAACUCUGUGCCAGCAGCCGCGGUAAUACCGAGGGCUCAAGCGUUGUUCGGAAUUACUGGGCGUAAGGCGUACGUAGGCUGUUUCGUAAGUCGUGUGUGAAAGGCGCGGGCUCAACCCGCGGACGGCACAUGAUACUGGGAGACUAGAGUAAUGGAGAGGGAAGCGGAAUUCCAGGUGUAGCGGUGAAAUGCGUAGAUAUCGGGAGGAACACUCGUGGCGAAGGCGGGUUCCUGGACAUUAACUGACGCUGAGGCGCGAAGGCGAGGGGAGCAAAAAGGAUUAGAUACCCGAGUAGUC
rnacentral:rRNA from 1 species